rnacentral:tRNA from 1 species
UCCCUGGUGGCUCAGACAGUAAAGAAUCUGCCUGCAGUGCAGGACACCCUGGUUCUAUUCCUGGUUCGGGAA